UGUGACUGUUGGAUGACGCAAGCGAAAAAUUGGCGAAGUAAACCAAUUUCUAUUUUAUGCAAGAGGUAACGUUGAUGGUCAUACGAUAGAUUAUCGUCCGAGUCCGCUGAAUCCUUUUCCACAACAAACAUAAGCUGGUUAAGGCAGAUAAAUGCUGCAAAUAAUGUUUUAUUAAAUAAAUUACCACUUUUAAUUAGUUUAUACUGUUAA